rnacentral:rRNA from 1 species
CUUCCUUCGGGAGGGGAGUAGAGUGGCGCACGGGUGAGUAACACGUAGGUAAUUUGCCUUUGGGUGGGGAAUAACAGUCGGAAACGACUGCUAAUACCGCAUAAUGCAGCGGCUCGACAUCGAGACAGUUGUUAAAGCGGGGGAUCGCAAGACCUCGCGCCUAAAGAGAAGCCUGCGGCAGAUUAGCUAGUUGGUAGGGUAAUGGCCUACCAAGGCGACGAUCUGUAACCGGCCUGAGAGGGCGGUCGGUCACACUGACACUGACAUACGGGUCAGACUCCUACGGGAGGCAGCAGUCGGGAAUUUUGGGCAAUGGGCGAAAGCCUGACCCAGCAACGCCGCGUGAAGGAUGAAAUCCCUCGGGAUGUAAACUUCGCAAGAACAGGAAGAAUAAGUAGAAGAUAAUACCUUCUAUGAUGACGGUACUGUUUGUAAGCUCCGGCUAACUUCGUGCCAGCAGCCGCGGUAAUACGAGGGGAGCAAGCGUUGUUCGGAUUUACUGGGCGUAAAGGGCGCGUAGGCGGUCGUGACAAGUCACUUGUGAAAUCUCCGGGCUUAACUCGGAACGGUCAAGUGAUACUGUCGGACUAGAGUACAGAAGGGGCAACUGGAAUUCUCGGUGUAGCGGUGAAAUGCGUAGAUAUCGAGAGGAACACCUGCGGCGAAGGCGGGUUGCUGGGCUGAUACUGACGCUGAGGCGCGAAAGCCAGGGGAGCGAACGGGAUUAGAUACCCCGGUAGU